UGGGUUAGUCGGGUCCUAAGCUGAGGCCGACAGGCGUAGGCGAUGGAUAACAGGUUGAUAUUCCUGUACCACCUAUAAUCGUUUUAAUCGAUGGGGGGGACGCAGUAGGAUAGGCGAAGCGUGCGAUUGGAUUGCACGUCUAAGCAGUAAGGCUGAGUAUUAGGCAAAUCCGGUACUCAUUAAGGCUGAGCUGUGAUGGGGAGAAGACAUUGUGUCUUCGAGUCGUUGAUUUCACACUGCCGAGAAAAGCCUCUAGAUAGAAAAUAGGUGCCCGUACC
rnacentral:rRNA from 1 species